UGGUCAAAUGACGCCCAGAAAACCGGUUCUCGUUCGAUCACCGAAGUUAAGCAACGUCAAGCCUGGUCAGCACUUAAAUGGGUGACCGCUUUAGAACACCGGGUACUGUAA